rnacentral:lncRNA from 1 species
UGAUCUGAUUUUGGCUCUCUAAGUUGAAGUUUAUGCUUCAUACCUGAGAGUAAAUCGGAUCAUAGCUUGCGGGGACCUUUUGUAAGUAUUCUUUCGUUCUUUUCAUUCGUUUUUAUCGUUAAAGUCAAACUGCGUUUGACUUUCUGCUUUGACCAGUUUAUGGUCAACGCGAAGUUCGUUUGAACUUCAUAACGUGAGCGUAAUCACGAUGGUCAUAGUCCCUAGUGACUAUACCUAGUGAUUACCACGUUAUCUAUGCACAGUGACGAGUCGUAGUUUCGGCCAAAAUGCGUUUUCUCGCGUAUUUUGUAACCAAACUACUCUAGGGUAUUAAAACCGUUUGUUUUAAUACCAAACCUGUUUUCUAACUUUGUUAAACAUGUUUCGACAUGUUUAGCUCGUCACUUUUUAGAUUAGUGCUUAUGUAGAGUCGUAAGUCAAGCGGAUUAAACACCCGCUUAGACUUUCGAACACAACCCGUUUGGUCGAUCAUUAGGAUCCGACCAAACAUGUUUAGUGACCAUAGUUGUAUAGGGAAUAACCUUCCGAGGUUAUACCUUAUGGUCACUUCGUUUAAGUAGUUGUAUGAUAGGUAGUUUAUAUGCCUUAGGUAAAUUACCAAAAUACCCUUUUAUGCAUAAUUGAUAUUUAAGCAUAUUUAACCCAAAAUUUUGUCACUUAACUAAUUAUGAAACAUAAUUAAACAUGUUUAGGCAUAUAAUACUUGUCAUAGGACUAGUUAGGCGGACCGAACGCGUUUUACGCGUGCGACGCGUUAAAGUAGCGUAAGCUAGCUUAAUGGAUCAUAAUGGGUCGAAAGCACUUAGGAUAGGUUUCAUUUUAGUAUGUAGGCCUUGUUAAACCAUAUCAUAUGACUUCCCACACUCAUUUGGUUUACGAGACCUCAUACUAUCCGAUCUCCCGAUUUAGGUCCGGUUUAUUUAUGUAGUUAUCAAUAUUAGGUGCCGUUUGAUUCCGUGCUCCUCUAGCUUUGCUUGGUGGUUAUCCUAGGACUUCUAAGGAAUCUCAAAUAACGGGACGGGUGAAAUGUGAUGAAAACAUGGUAGAUACGCCGCUGGUGCUGCUUUGUGAUGACUGAUGAUAUAUGCUACACUUAGGAUGGACUCGUGCCUUAGUGACUUUAAACUUGAAAGAUAAUAGUUGUACUUAUUUGAUUGUAUUUAUACAAUGAGUUCAUUUAUUCAAUAAAACAAAAUUAUU